AUGCGGGGAGAAGAGAGUCUCCGGAUCCUGGUGCCGACUGAGGGUGAGAGCCUUCCGCUGAUGGACAUCAAUACUUGCGAGACCGAGGCCCCUGAGCUGUGGGACUAUGUGUUUGUGGUCGAUUGUCGCACCCAGAGAAACCCCGGGCAGGUCCAGCGGCAGCGGCAGUUCCUGGAAGAGCUUGAGAACCAGGGCUUUCGCUACAAGGCAAUGGAGGACCAGGGGAAGGAGUUCUUUGGGAUCCGAGCUGACAAUAGCAUCUUUGACCGGUACCGGAGACUUACGGAGCCUGAGGACACUGUUCCCAGAGGGGAGCUGUCCAGGCCAACUUCUAUCCAAGCCACCAACAGAAUCCGAAUUGUCGACUUUGUCCUGAACAGCAAGACGGCAGCGGGUGACACGCUCCAGGAUUUGGUGAAGGAUGGGGUCUUUGAGGCUGGGUUCCCCCUGCACGAGGGGGAGGCGCACCUAAAGAAGACAUGGGCCCGGUGGAGAAGCAUGUUCCAAAAGCAGCCAAUUAGUGACAUCAGGGACUACUUCGGAGAGAAAGUGGCGCUGUACUUCGCCUGGCUCGGCUGGUACACUUACAUGCUGGUGCCCGCCGCAGUGGUGGGCCUCGUCGUCUUCCUGAGCGGGUUUUCCCAAUUCGAAGCCAGCCAGAUAAGCAAGGAGAUCUGCAAGGCCCACGACAUCUACAUGUGCCCUCGAGGCGACCACAACCGCAGGUUCCAGCGGCUCUCAGACACCUGCGCCUAUGCCAAGCUCACCCACCUCUUCGACAACGAGGGCACCGUGCUGUUCGCCAUCUUCAUGGCGCUGUGGGCCACCGUGUUCCUGGAGCUAUGGAAGCGGGAGCGAGCCCGAGUGGUCCUUCAGUGGGAGCUGUACGGGUGGGACGAGGACCAGGAGGAAAUGGCUCUGGGGCUCAUCACCUGCCCGGACUACCAGCCGCUGCUGCACCGGCACUCCUACCUGCGGAGCGCCGUCAUCCUUCUCCUGUCCCUCCUGAUGAUCUGCCUCAUGAUCGGCAUGGCCCACGUCCUGGUGGUCUACCGAGUGCUGGCUGCCGCCCUCUUCAGCUCGGCCUUGCCCUUCCUGGGGGAGCAGGUGACCACGGCUGUGGUGGUGAGCGGGGCCCUGGUUCACUACGUGACCAUCAUCCUCAUGACCAAGAUCAACAAAUAUGUGGCCCUGAAGCUUUGUGACUUUGAGAAGCCCAGGACCUUUUCCGAGCGAGAGAGCAAGUUCACUGUCAAGUUCUUCACUCUGCAGUUCUUUGCUCACUUCUCCUCCCUGGUCUAUGUCGCCUUCAUCCUGGGCAGGAUCAACGGUCCUCCCGGGAAGACAGUGCGCCUGGCGGGACUGUGGAAGCUGGAGGAGUGCCACCUCAGCGGCUGCAUGAUGGACCUGUUCGUGCAGAUGGCCGUCAUCAUGGGUCUGAAGCAAACGCUCAGCAACUGCGUGGAGUAUCUGAAGCCGUGGCUGGCGCACAAGUAUCGCUCCUUGCGGGCCCCGUCUCAGGACCCCGAGCUGGGCCACUGGCAGCGCAACUAUCGCCUGAACCCAGUCUACACCUUCAGCCUGUUCAACGAGUUCAUGGAGAUGAUGAUCCAGUACGGAUUCACCACCAUCUUCGUGGCUGCCUUCCCGCUCGCGCCGCUGCUCGCGCUCUUCAGCAACCUCGUGGAGAUCCGCCUGGACGCCAUCAAGAUGGUGCGGCUGCAGCGGCGCCUGGUGCCACGCAAGGCCAAGGACAUCGGGGCCUGGCUGCAGGUGCUGGAGAUCAUCGGCGUGCUGGCGGUCAUCGCCAACGGGAUGGUCAUCGCCUUCACAUCCGAGUUCAUCCCCCGCACGGUGUACAAGCACCGCUAUGGCCCCUGCCGGAGAGGCGCCCAGUCUGAAGUCGACUGCCUCACCGGCUAUGUCAACCACAGUCUGUCUGUGUUCCACACCAAAGACUUCCAGGAUCCUGCCAAAGUCGAGGGCUGGGAGAAUGUGACCGAGUGCAGGUACCGGGACUAUUUCUCUGCCCAGGACUCCAACUUCUCGGAGCAGCACUGGUUCCUCCUGGCGAUCCGCCUGGCCUUCCUCAUCCUCUUCGAGCACGUGGCCUUAUGCAUCAAGCUCAUUGCGGCCUGGUUCGUACCUGAUGUCCCACAGUCUGUGAAGAAUGAAGUCCUGAAGAAGAAGUACCAGAGACUGGGGCAAAAAAGCUGCAGCCCCAAGAGCACGGACGUGUAGGGGACCCGGCGCAGGUGGUGCCCGGAGUCCCACGACUCAGGAGCUGCCACACCGCCUCCCACCCCAGCCUGGCUGGCUGUGUGUGGGGAGCUUUAAGGAGACCCGAGUGCUUGUGGGGGCCCUGGGGGCCCGUGUGUGUUUGGGGUGUC
rnacentral:lncRNA from 1 species